GGCAUGUUUCUGGCUCAUCUGUGAUCACCAGGAAACUCCCAGAUCUGACACUGUAGUGCAUUUCACUGCUGACAAGAAGGCUGCUGCCACCAGCCUGUGAAGCAAGGUUAAGGUGAGAAGGCUGGAGGUGAGAUUCUGGGCAGUCUCCUGGUUGUCUACCCAUGGACCUAGAGGUACUUUGAAAGUUUUGGAUAUCUGGGCUCUGACUGUGCAAUAAUGGGCAACCCCAAAGUCAAGGCACAUGGCAAGAAGGUGCUGAUCUCCUUCGGAAAAGCUGUUAUGCUCACGGAUGACCUCAAAGGCACCUUUGCUACGCUGAGUGACCUGCACUGUAACAAGCUGCACGUGGACCCUGAGAAAUUCCUGCUCUUAGGCAACGUGAUAUUGAUUGUUUUGGCAACCCACUUCAGCGAGGGGUUUACCCUACAGAUACAGGCUUCUUGGCAGUAACUAACAAAUGCUGUGGUUAAUGCUGUAGCCCACAAGACCACUGAGUCCCCUGUCCACUAUGUUUGUACCUACUGGUCCACUAUGUUUGUACCUAUGUCCCCAAAUCUCAUCUCCUUUAGAUGGGGGAGGUUGGGGAGAAGAGCAGUAUCCUGCCUGCUGAUUCAGUUCCUGCAUGAUAAAAAUAAAAUAAAGAAAUAUGCUCUCUAAGAAA